AUGCCGCACACUGCCUGCAGUCCGGCCGAUGAUGAUCUCCCCGCUUCAUCGAGCGGGUCGUUGGCUCCGUCGGAUGUAGACUCCAUCUCGACUGCCUCCACCCCUCGCGGCGCUGAAGACGCCGAGGUGGGAUCCCAAGAAGGGACCCAUCAGGAGGAGGCUCCGAAGGCGCCACAAGGUAGCCUCCCGGACUUUGCGCCGGACUCCACGCCGGAACCCGCAGUGGUUCCGGAGUCCGGCCGGCGGCCCCUUCACAAGAAGGGCAAGACCGUGACGCCGGCGACCUCUGUCCAACCGGAGGUGCUGGACAACUUGUUGGAGGCGCUCAAAGGCGCUUCCAUCGAGGAAGAACACCGCACUAUCAUGAGUGCGGUGAUUCAGAAGGCUCAGCUCGCCAAGAGCGGGCUGACCGAAGCACGCAGUAGCCUUCUAACAGGCUUUGAGGUAAGAAGUUUAAAAUAUGUAAUGUAA
rnacentral:rRNA from 1 species